GUGGGGAAUAUUGGUCAAUGGGCGAGAGCCUGAACCAGCCAAGUCGCGUGAAGGAAGAAGGAUCUAUGGUUCGUAAACUUCUUUUGCAGGGGAAUAAAGUGCGGGACGUGUCCUGUUUUGUAUGUACCCUGAGAAUAAGGAUCGGCUAACUCCGUGCCAGCAGCCGCGGUAAUACGGAGGAUCCGAGCGUUAUCCGGAUUUAUUGGGUUUAAAGGGUGCGUAGGUGGUUUGAUAAGUCAGCGGUGAAAGUUUGCAGCUUAACUGUAAAAAUGCCGUUGAAACUGUCGGACUUGAGUGUAAAGGAGGUAGGCGGAAUGCGUGGUGUAGCGGUGAAAUGCAUAGAUAUCACGCAGAACUCCGAUUGCGAAGGCAGCUUACUAAGCUACAACUGACACUGAAGCACGAAAGCGUGGGGAUCAAACAGGAUUAGAUACCCUUGUAGUCC
rnacentral:rRNA from 1 species